rnacentral:lncRNA from 1 species
UUCUCCUUGCAACUUUAGAGCAAAACCUCAUCAACAAAGAAGAUUAGCUGAGUAUCAUGGCAACUUCUGCAAUCCAGAGAUCAGCAUUCGCCGGCCAGACCGCCUUGAAGCAGCCCAAUGAGCUUGUCCGGAAGGUUGGUGGCCUCGGUGGUGGCCGCAUCACCAUGCGCCGGACUGUUAAAAGCACCCCACAAAGCAUAUGGUAAGUGAAUACUCUUGAGUUUUCUGAGUUUUUGAGUAAGCUGUAGGAGCAACUACAAUGAACUUUGGCUUCCCAAAUUUACUUUUGAUUCCCACUGGGAUGGUGGGAUGUGUCCAUGCAGUAGCCUGCUUCCAUUUUAAAGCUUGAAAUCCCAUGCAACAACUAGAUUUCAAUCAGUCUUCAUGGAAGUUGCUUUCAUCGAAUUCAAUAUUUUAUCUCUUUCCUAGAGGCAUUUCAGAGAACCGAAAAAAUAGGAAAAUAGUAAGCUUUUGAAGGGCCUUUUUUGGAUCUGCGAUCUGCUUAGCUAGUCUGUCUUUGCCAGACAAAUUAUUGAAGAAAAGUCUGAUUGGAAAACUUCAACCUAAUUGAAAUAUAUGUAGUGGUUUUGAGCAUGAUCUCUGGCGAAUUCACCAAAUGAUAUGCUCUGUUUAAUCUAGAGAAUGUUAUAUUAGGAGACAAGUUUUUGAAUUACAGUAGGAAGAAAUAAAUUGCAUAUAAACCAAAUUGUGAAAGUUGGCAAAUAGUUAAUAACAUCAAAAUCUGUAAACAAAGGUUAAUUAAGAUCUGAUUUACAUGUCCUGCUCCUGCAACUGAAAAAACAGGUAUGGCCCAGACCGCCCCAAGUACUUGGGCCCAUUCUCUGAGCAAACUCCAUCAUACCUGACCGGUGAAUUCCCUGGUGACUAUGGGUGGGACACUGCUGGGUUAUCAGCAGAUCCUGAGACAUUCGCCAAGAACCGUGAGCUCGAGGUCAUUCACUGCAGAUGGGCAAUGCUUGGUGCACUGGGUUGUGUCUUCCCUGAGAUUCUUUCAAAGAAUGGUGUCAAAUUUGGUGAGGCUGUCUGGUUCAAGGCUGGAGCUCAGAUCUUCUCAGAGGGCGGUCUCGACUACCUUGGCAACCCCAACCUUGUUCAUGCCCAGAGCAUCCUUGCAAUCUGGGCCUGCCAAGUUGUGCUCAUGGGAUUCGUUGAAGGAUACCGUGUUGGUGGAGGCCCACUUGGUGAGGGACUGGAUGCAAUUUACCCAGGUGGGGCUUUUGACCCACUUGGUUUGGCAGAUGACCCUGAUGCAUUUGCAGAACUGAAGGUGAAGGAGAUCAAGAACGGUCGCCUGGCAAUGUUUUCAAUGUUUGGAUUCUUCGUUCAGGCUAUUGUCACUGGAAAGGGCCCAAUUGAGAACCUCGUUGACCACCUUGCUGAUCCAGUUGCCAACAACGCAUGGGCUUAUGCCAC